UCUCUCUGACUUAGAUAACAAUAAGGUCAUAGCGCUUACGACAGAUAAAAUGAGACCAGUAUUUACAUCUGGCACUUCUCACAUGCAGAAACACUGAAUGAGACAAAUUAGAAGCAAGGGAGAGGGAGCAGUAGCCAGACUAAAGAGGAGCAUAUUCCAGCCAAGAUACAAGGCUUUACAAACAUUCCGUUGACUUUGUCGCAUGACUCUUCCAGUUCCAGCUUUUUGUCCGACGGUGGCCCCUGAGAAUGUGUUGCAUGAUACAGACGCCCCGAUAAAGGCGGGAGAUGUUACUCCUGGUGGACCACCGGACAGGGCAGGUGGGUCUGGAAUCUAUCCCCAUGAUGAAUUCCCCUCUGGCAUCUUUGGAUUUAAGGUAAGCAAAAAUAAUAAUAAAUAAAAUAAUAAUAAUAAUUGGUUGUUCUAAUUUAACACUGCCUUGCGGGUUGACCCUUUUUCCUGCCUUGGACACCAUGCUAGUGUUGUGGCUACUAGGCUGGAUGAGUCUGAUCAAUUGGACUUUUAUGAGAAAAAUAAUAAUGAAUAAGAAUUUUAAAAAAACAUUUAAAAAAGAGAAGAAUUACCUGACAACAACUUGUUGCUGAGUCUGAUCAAUUUUGCAGUAGACCAUCUUUGUCCGAACAGCUAAAAGGUAAACAGAAAAAAGAAUAAUAAUACACAACAAAUGAAUAGGCAGAAAAAGUCAACACCUUCAUACUUGAAUGACAUUGUAAAGAAAAAAUGCACUUGGCCAUGUAGGAAAUCAAACAAAACGAUUCUCAUGUCUUAUUAUGAAACCCAUCCCGGUAGAUGAAAAGUGGCCUGUGCUAGGGGAAGGUUAUUUACCAUCAAUAACGAACGCUUCAACAUCAUCUUCUCCAACCAGCAGCUCCUGUUGCAUGGUUUCAAAGGAGA